GACUCCAUGAAGCUGGAUUCGCUAGUAAUCGCGCAUCAGCCACGGCGCGGUGAAUACGUUCCCGGGCCUUGUACACACCGCCCGUCAAGCCAUGGAAGCCGGGAGUGCCUGAAGUGUGCAACCGCAAGGAGCGCCCUAAGGUAAAACCGGUGACUGGGGCUAAGUCGUAACAAGGUACC
rnacentral:rRNA from 1 species